rnacentral:RNase_P_RNA from 1 species
CUUACUCACGGAAGACAGUCGAUCCGGCACAUGCCGGAUAGGAAAGUCCGAACUCCUUAUGCGAAAGCAUGGACAAUAGAUAGUGGGUAACGCCCACCCCCGGCUCGGCGACGAGUUAGGGCGGGAAAGUGCCACAGAGACGAUACUAUCCCGAUCUAAUCGGGAAAAAGGUGAAACGUGUGAGGGUGUGUUGAUAGGCCGGAGCAUAUGCGCCAUAUCAACGCUACUUCACUUCCCGGCUUAGCCGGGAUGGCAAACCCUAUCUGGAGAAAGAGCAGCCCUUCCCGAUUAAAUCGGGAUUGGAAAAGUUAGCUCGUUUGAGCCUAGCAGCAAUGCCAGGCCUAGAGAAAUGACUGUCGCUCCUGAUGAAAAUCAGGAUGUCACAGAAUUCGGCUUACCUGUGGGUAAGAUAA